UACAGAGGUGGCAAGCGUUGUUCGGAAUUACUGGGCGUAAAGGGCGCGUAGGCGGUUCGUUAAGUCCUGUGUGAAAUCCCCCGGCUCAACUGGGGAACUGCACAGGAAACUAGCGGGCUUGAGUUCGGGAGAGGGAAGCGGAAUUCCGGGUGUAGCGGUGAAAUGCGUAGAUAUCCGGAGGAACACCGGUGGCGAAGGCGGCUUUCUGGACCGUAACUGACGCUGAGACACGAAAGCGUGGGUAGCAAACAGG
rnacentral:rRNA from 1 species